CUGAUCUGAUCUGAUCUGAAGCGAGUUCCUAUGGGUUCUUCUCUUUCGUCGUCUCUUCUCUCCAACCUUCAUUGUUGAUGUUCUUAGAUUUUGGGAAACAUCGCUCGGGACAGAGGAAAUAGAGGAACAGAGCAAGAAAACAACAGAGAGGAGGAACAUGCGGAGAAUACAGCGAAACCCACAUCGAAAAGCGAGUCAAUUUCAGAUCAAGAAUUGAGGAUAGCUCCUGAAACCGAGAAAAAGUUGGAUUUUUUGAAAGAAUUCGAAGGUUCAAUUAAAGAAAGAUUCCUCAGCUCCUCAAACAUUGAAGAAUUGAAAGCUGUAGAUGUCUCUGUAGGGCCUCUCAUACUCACAAGGUGUAAAUCAGAACCAGCAAGAACCGAAGAGAAGCUUGAUCCAGACUCUAAUUUCUGGAAAAGAAGAAGGUUGGGUCUCAUUGGUUCACACUCACAACCUGUUUUGUGAUUAAAUCCAUUAUUAUAAUUUCUAUCUCUUUUAUUUUAUUUUAUUUUAUUUUUUUACUGAAUUGAAAAUAUUUUUGGGCAGCUGAAUUUGGAAUUGGUUUUUUUUUUUUGUUUAAUAUUGAAAAAAAAAAUACAUGUUGAGCUAUAUAUAUAGGAGAGAAUCUCUAUGGCUCUAUGGUAAUAUAAAAAGGUAAGUUUGGUUGUACACCGAAAGCUGAAAGAAAUGAAAUAGGUGUGUUCAUCUAUAUCUAUCUAUGUGCUUUGCUUUGCUCUGCCACUCCUCAUGGGCAGCUGUCUGUAUUUACUACUUUUUAUUUGUUUGUGUCAUUUAAAUCAAUUUGUGUUUUUCAACGAAUUUCAUGGAACUGGAAGUUUGGGACUGUUCUCAGUGUUUUCUACUUUUGCUUUAUGGACUGGUUUGGGGUAAUGGGAUUUUGAUUAAUAUAAUAAGCAUCUUUGGAUACUCUGACCAACUUAAAUAUUUGUUGAAAGCCUAUGUGUAUAGUAGCUUUAUGAGGUGACCCCCACAUCCCACAUCUUAUUGUAAUACAUGUUCAUAUCUCUGACUUUUUGAUAUUUAGGGGUUUAUCUAUAGUAUAAAGAAUAAUAAAUAUGAAACAUGAUUCUAAUUUUUUUAAUGGGGGCUAGUUUGCCACUUUGCCUCUCUUUUUUUCUUGUUUUCAGAGAAUUGCAAUUAAGAUUUUUGACCUCUUAUUUACUUUCAACUUUUAAAGAUUUGUUGAUCAAAAAGUAUGGUCUAAAGGUUCUAUGAUUAAUGUCUAAAAUGUGAAAGGUACGUGAUCAGGUCAUUGUCUUAUAGCUUUUGGAUAUUUCAUUUAAGGAUGAUUAGGGAACAUAAUCCAUCAUCCAUUUCAUAAUUCACAUUAGAUAAGAAACAUAGGGUGGAAAAUUUUCGUUUGAGCUAAACUUCUUUGAUUCAGACCACUUUACAAAGAUUAGGUUGAGAUAAUUGAAACCUGGUUCAGGGCAUGUUUGCCUUAAGUUUAUUUUUUUUAUUUUUAUAAAUUUUAUUCAGCAUAGGGACAUCUAUUUAUCUUAACUUUACUGGUUGGAGUAAUUUAAAAACUGCAACUUGAGACCAAAAUUCUUUAAUUGUCAAUAUGCCAAAGUUGAAAGUGAAGAACCAACAGGGAGUUACCUAAUCACUUAUGACAAACAGGAAAAGUGAAUUUCAUAAUCAUAAUACAGAUCCAAAAGCCAAACAAGCAGAUGAUAAGAAAAAUUAUCAAAGCAUUCAUUUUGAAGUGUGCUUUGUUGCAAUUUCUAUCCAGUACAAUGUAAGUUAUAAGGUAUGUUGUGUUACAGCUCUGCCAAUUUGCAUAUGUAUGUUGUACUGUGUGAUGUCAAUAUUAUUUAAAAGAUUAUAUUGUUUGUAGAAAAGUUUGUUAUUUUAGAACUUAAUAAUGCAGAGCAUAAGUUUUAAGUUUUUGAAGUGUUUUGCUCUCCAAUUAAGCUAUUCUGUUAGGAUUUGUGCACUUGCCAUUUUUUUUUAACAGUUAUAGGUUCUUAAAUCUGAUUCUCUAUAUUAAUUUUUCGGACCAUUCAUUGAUGUUAUUGUUUAAUUCUAGCUCAUCAUAAGUAGGAGUCAACCUCAUGAAAAUCUGUCAUGUAAGCAUUUAUCCUUCUAGCUCUCUCUUGCAUUCAAUGCUUUUUUUGGGAUAUAAGCAUCCAACCUAAACCCAAAGCUGUUUUAUCCUUGUUAUUGAAAAAUUAUCAAUUAUCAAUUAUCUAAUUAUAGUUGAUAAUUAGAAUGACAUCCAUGUAAAAAGAUAACAUCUGGAAUGCAUAUACACAUACAAUUGAAGUCCAUGUAACAAGACCAAGCUCUAAAACAAAGCUGAAACAUUGAUAUGCACCCACAAUCAUUUACAUUAUUACUCAACUUUCAGAUAAUAAGAAACCUCUCAAAGGUUCAUUAUAUGAUUAUAUCAUUUUUUUAGCAUGUUGUUGUUUACUAGAUUUUUUUAUUUAUUUAACAAACUUAUUAUAUAUGAUUUUGAAUUUGCUGAUAUUGUCAGGUUGAACUAGAUGAGCCAAAGUUCUUGAAUAAUAAUAGUUAUAUAAAUAAAUAUCUAAGGCUCUAUGCAAAGAGAUUUGCUCUUAUGAACAUCUCCUUUUUUUUCAAGCUCUAAUAGUUAUAUCAUGUAAAUGCAGAUAUUUUUGUUGCUAAUGGAGUUGCAGAAGGGAUAAUAAGAAAUUCUUGCGAGUUAGAAGUUUCCCAGUUCAGAACUUAAGAAUGAAUGAGCCAGAAAUGCAUAUGCUUAUGAUUGUCUCUUUUUUCAAUUGUUGCCAUGAUGGUAUUCAAAUAUAGAUGUGAACAAGACACAUUGUAGUGGAUAUCUUUUUAAAUGAUUUUUUUCCCUUUUUAGAUGGAUUUCUUUGUAGUUUGUCUGCUUCUUUUAGAUACUUUGCAACAAGUGACCGGCUUGUAGUUCAUGAAAGUGAGUUAUAUAUCAAUUCAAGUUAUAAAUAUUAUGAGAUGAAAA